AUACGUAGGGAGCGAGCGUUGUCCGGAAUUACUGGGUGUAAAGGGAGCGUAGGCGGGAGUGCAAGUCAGAUGUGAAAUACAUGGGCUCAACCCAUGGGCUGCAUUUGAAACUGCAUUUCUUGAGUGAAGUAGAGGUAAGCGGAAUUCCUGGUGUAGCGGUGAAAUGCGUAGAUAUCAGGAGGAUCACCGGUGGCGAAGGCGGCUUACUGGGCUUUUACUGACGCUGAGGCUCGAAAGCGUGGGGAGCAAACAGGAUUAGAUACCCUGGUAGUCCACGCUGUAAACGAUGAUUACUAGGUGUGGGGGGACUGACCCCUUCCGUGCCGCAGUUAACACAAUAAGUAAUCCACCUGGGGAGUACGGCCGCAAGGUUGAAACUCAAAUGAAUUGGCGGGG
rnacentral:rRNA from 1 species